rnacentral:rRNA from 1 species
GUCUAUGACCAUACCACCUUGACAGUGCCCAAUUUCAUCUGAUCUUGGAAACUAAGCAGGGUCAGGCCUGGUUAGAACUGGGCUGGGAGACCUAUCCAUAGUGCAGUUCAAGUUGAAAAAU